CAUGUAACGAGUCAAAAAAUUUUUUUUGCUUAAAUCAACUCUAAUACAUGUGGAAAAUAUGUUCCUAAAGUUACAAAUCGAUAUUCGACCUCUACGUAUAGUUAUAGUCGAGUUUUCGACCGCGCGUUGAGUAGGUAGCUGGGAGCGCUCGGAGCGGAGACACGCGUCUCGUCUGUCCUCACUCAUACACUCGUACAUAACAAACAGCUUCGCAGGUAUACGUCUAAUGGUUUUCUUUUGUUGUGAUAUACCUUCGCGUACUUGUAUAGCUGAGGCAAGAAAAUUUUACGAGAGCUUCAAUUCGUGUGUUUGGCGUUUGGCUCCGAAAUAUUUAUAUUGUGGCAUCCGAACAGUGGAAAUAGCCGCAUAUAUUGCUGCAGGAUUAUUCAACGAAGGCUAUUUCGCCGUUUUAAAAAUUAUGGACACAUUAGAACUAAAGAUCGGUACCCAUUGUAAGGAGUAUGCAGACUCGUAUGACGCCGCGCGAAUACGGCAACAGGAGUGACGAAGCCUCAGUAGCUCGAAAGAAGCUCGAACUGCUCGCAAAGAACUGAAUUUACAACAGCAGCAAUUAUACGAGGAUGCAGAAGGCCUACCAUAUGGCCCUGGAAUCGCCGAUUAGGACUACCAUUACAGCGGAUGCUAGACUGCACACCGUUUGACGCCUGCGACGCCGAAGCCGCUGAAGGCGGCGUCCAUACCUAUAUCUAUAUAUAUGUUUUUUUUAACCAAAAAAAUAUUUUUAUAUUCUCUUUACAUGUAUUGAUGUACUAUUAAAGUUUGAGAUCCUUUGACUAAAUACGUUCUUGAA